rnacentral:lncRNA from 1 species
AGAAAUUGAAAGAACCUCAAAGGUUAGGGUUUCAGAAGAACCCCAGAUGGUGAGAAAGGCUUGAAAAAAUCAUUGAUCUAAGCAGGAUAAGUUAAAAAUCGGGCUUGAAUAGCCAUGGCUGGCCGAAGCAAGGCCAAAGAUUACCGGAGACUUCCAUAGAACUGAAAUCAAUCACGGUCCAGACUUUUCCAGGAUCUUUCCUUGAAACCAUGAUAAUCGGGCAUGUAGAAGCCAUAGAAAGAUAUAGGCCUCCAAUCUUUGGAAGCCCUUGAUUUAGGAGAUUUUGGGGUGGUAGUUGAGGGUGGAUGCUAG